GACGAACGCUGGCGGUGUGCUUAACACAUGCAAGUCGAGCGGUAAGGCCCUUUCGGGGGUACACGAGCGGCGAACGGGUGAGUAACACGUGGGUGACCUGCCUUUAGCUCUGGGAUAAGCCUGGGAAACUGCGUCUAAUACCGGAUAUGACCCUAUGGCGCAUGUUGUGGGGUGGAAAGCCUUGUGCGGCUAGGGAUGGGCCCGCGGCCUAUCAGCUUGUUGGUGGGGUGAUGGCCACCAAGGCGACGACGGGUAGCCGGCCUGAGAGGGCGACCGGCCACACUGGGACUGAGACACGGCCCAGACUCCUACGGGAGGCAGCAGUGGGGAAUCUUGCGCAAUGGGCGAAGACCUGACGCAGCGACGCCGCGUGAGGGAUGACGGCCU
rnacentral:rRNA from 1 species